GAGCGCUGUCGGGCACACUCCCGUCCCAGGGCCCUCCUGCCCCGUGGGCUCCGCUUUCCCCUCCCCCUGCCUUGGAGGAGAGGGAGGGACUCUGGGAAACCGCGGCCAGUUCUGUGUCACCUCCCAUUAACUUCCCCGGGAGCUGAGAUUCCCACGCACAGCUCGGCCUUGUCCCCCAAGUCCCGGGCCCUCCGUGGCGGAAAGACGCCGCACCCGCUGCUUCCGACUAGAGGCCCGCUCAGACGCUGGGGGUGCGGCUGGGAUUGGGGCCGGGCACUAAGUGUUAGCGGGCGCAGAGGAGGCCAGAACCCGGACCCAUAACAGCGGCCCACCAGACCGCGAGAACCGACCGGAGGGAAUCCCAGAAGGGGGCGAGGAAGGUCUCGGGUAGUGGGCCUGUAGCUGGAACCGGAAGGAAGUGAGGAACGACAGGGCGUGGAGAUGGGGGAGGGGGGAGACAACUGGAGGCAGGAAAUCCAGCCCGUAAAACCGUCCGGAGCCCGGUGGGGCGCCUUGUGCCCGCGCCUCUGCGGGGAGGAGGGGGCUUGUGGAGGCCGUGGCAGCUUCUGAAGGCCUGGAGGCGAUAAGGACCCCCGGCUGGUUCUUGAGGAGGAGAGUUCGGAGUCAAACCCCCGCCUGAGGAAAGUCCUUCAAUAGCUGAGUGGGAAUCAUUCUAGAAAACAAGGCCGGGAAGUUAGCUCUGGAGUCAGGAGGUUCAAAUGUGCUCUCCAGGCACUUGACACUUACUGUGUGACCUUAGUUGGAGAUGUUUCAGGAAGCCAGGUCUUUGAGAACUAGAGCAGAUACUGCCGCCCCUUUUAAUGUCAUACCCGAAGAUUAUUCAGCCUCGUGGGCACAGGAUCCAUGUGACGGCGCAGCCAGCAGCUAGAGCCACAAGUCAGCCGUGCUACGGGACUCUGCCAAUUGGCUGACGGUCACAGCCGCAGAUCACUCCCCCGUGGAAACGGGUCCCAGGGGCCCCAACGCCAACUUGACCUUCCUUGGGCACACGGUAUAUUACAUAAUCGCCGGGCCACAGCCCUGUCAGUCAGAGCAAAUUCACCAAGACUGAGCUCACUUGUAUUGAUAUUGGUUUUAGCUUUUUUUUCCAUUAAAAAAAAAAGUGAA